GCUUCAAUAGCACAUACUAAAACUGGAACAACACAAAGAUUGCAUGGCCCCUGCACAAGACUGACAUGCAAAUUUGUGAAGUGUUACCUAUUUUG
rnacentral:snRNA from 1 species